rnacentral:rRNA from 1 species
CCUACGGGAGUCAGCAGUGAGGAAUAUUGGUCAAUGGGCGCGAGCCUGAACCAGCCAAGUCGCGUGAGGGAGGACGGCCCUACGGGUUGUAAACCUCUUUUGCCGGGGAGCAACGGGCGUCACGUGUGGCGCCACUGAGAGUACCCGGAGAAAAAGCAUCGGCAAACUCUGUGCCAGCAGCCGCGGUAAUACGGGGGAUGCGAGUGUUAUCCGAUUUUAUUGGGUUAAAGGGGUGCGUAGGCGGAUUGUAAAGUCAGUGGUAAAAUUGAGGGGCUAAACCCCUUCCCGCCAUUGAAACUGGCGCUCUUGAGUGGAAGAGAGGUAUGCGGAAUGCGUGGUGUAGCGGUGAAAUGCAUAGAUAUCACGCAGAACCCCGAUUGCGAAGGCAGCAUGCCGGCUUCCGACUGACGCUGAAGCACGAAAGCGUGGGGAUCGAACAGGAUUAGAUACCCGGGUAGUC